UGGGGAAUAUUGCACAAUGGGCGCAAGCCUGAUGCAGCCAUGCCGCGUGUAUGAAGAAGGCCUUCGGGUUGUAAAGUACUUUCAGCGGGGAGGAAGGGAGUAAAGUUAAUACCUUUGCUCAUUGACGUUACCCGCAGAAGAAGCACCGGCUAACUCCGUGCCAGCAGCCGCGGUAAUACGGAGGGUGCAAGCGUUAAUCGGAGUUACUGGGCGUAAAGCGCACGCAGGCGGUUUGUUAAGUCAGAGGUGAAAUCCCCGGGCUCAACCUGGGAACUGCAUCUGAUACUGGCAAGCUUGAGUCUCGUAGAGGGGGGUAGAAUUCCAGGUGUAGCGGUGAAAUGCGUAGAGAUCUGGAGGAAUACCGGUGGCGAAGGCGGCCCCCUGGACAAAGACUGACGCUCAGGUGCGAAAGCGUGGGGAGCAAACAGG
rnacentral:rRNA from 1 species